UCACGAUAGCGUAAAAGUUAACUAAAAUUUUUAUGAAGUCGGAUCGUUUGCCUGCGUUUGCCACUAGGGGCGCUGUUCUAACUGUAUACAAAUUUGAGUUAACUUUUACGCUAUCGA
rnacentral:pre_miRNA from 9 species